GCCCUGGCUGGUUUGGCUCAGUGGUUAGAGUGUUGGGCCUUGGACCAAAGGGUCUCAGGUUCAAUUCCUGACCAGGGCA